rnacentral:rRNA from 1 species
UCCGUAGGUGAACCUGCGGAAGGAUCAUUAAUGAAUUUAGAGUAACUCUUUGAGUGCUCAACCCUUCAUUUCCCACUCUGUGCAUUUUUGGGCGAUACAAGGUGAAACUUGUUAUUGCCCCCCUUAUAUAAACCCUAGUUAAAGUAUGUAAUUUAAAUAUAAAAUCUAAAAAAACUUUCAACAACGGAUCUCUUGGCUCUCGCAUCGAUGAAGAACGCAGCGAAAUGUGAUAAGUAAUGUGAAUUGCAGAAUUCAGUGAAUCAUCGAAUCUUUGAACGCACCUUGCACUCUUUGGUAUUCCGAAGAGUAUGUCUGUUUGAGUGUCAUGAACUCUUCAAUUGGGUACUUUUAUUAGUAUUCAAUUUGGUUUCUGGAGGUUACUCUUAACGAGUUCCCCCGUAAUGAAUUAGCCAAUCUAGCCUAAACUCGAGAUUGACUCUGUGUGAUAGACUAUUCGCAGAGGAGAGUUUGUUGGUAGGCUUCCAAUACAAUGUCUACUUUAAUUUAGACCUCAAAUCAGAUAGGAUUACCCGCUGAACUUAAGCAUAUCAAUAAGCGGAGGAAAAG